rnacentral:misc_RNA from 1 species
GUGAAUCAUCGAAUUUUUGAACGCAAAUUGCGCUUCCUGGGAUCCCGGGAAGGAUGCCGGUUGGAUGAUAAGUAGUAACAAAAGAUCGUUUUGGUUGCAAAUGGUGACGUUUCCGGAGAUUGGGCUUAUCUUAACUUUUUUUGUUAAUGGGCUUAAAAUUGACCUUUUUUGCGCAUUUUUAGACGUACAUAAAUUUUUUUUUAUUCUGCUAUUGUUAAUGCCAAAAUCGUAUUAGAUGAGAGCACAUCUUGUGGUUUCGUGUCCAUA